rnacentral:rRNA from 1 species
UACGUAGGGGGCAAGCGUUGUCCGGAAUCAUUGGGCGUAAAGAGCGUGUAGGCGGCCAUGCAGGUCCGUUGUGAAAACUGGAGGCUUAACCUCCAGACGCCGGUGGAAACCGUGUGGCUAGAGUCCGGAAGAGGAGAGUGGAAUUCCUGGUGUAGCGGUGAAAUGCGCAGAUAUCAGGAAGAACACCCGUGGCGAAGGCGGCUCUCUGGGACGUGACUGACGCUGAGACGCGAAAGCGUGGGGAGCAAACAGG